rnacentral:rRNA from 1 species
UACGUAGGCGGCUUGUCGCGUCGUCCGUGAAAACCCGGGGCUCAACUCCGGGCUUGCGGGCGAUACGGGCAGGCUAGAGUUCGGUAGGGGAGACUGGAAUUCCUGGUGUAGCGGUGAAAUGCGCAGAUAUCAGGAGGAACACCGGUGGCGAAGGCGGAUCUCUGGGCCUUACCUGACGCUGAGGAGCGAAAGCAUGGGGAGCGAACAGG